UCAGCUUCUGCAUUUGCAUUUUGUGUUUCUUCUGGGGCUGCCUUGCCCUUAGAGAACAGUCGACCUGCUAACUCCUGUAGAUCCUUCAUUGAAGAAUCCUUUGAACUUGACAAUCGCUGAAGCAAAUUUCUAACAAGGAGUUCAGCUGAUCCAGGCUUCGUUCGCUCCAUAUUUACAAGUGAAUUUGUAACAGCAUGCACAACUGAUCCGUCAGAGUCAUCAGCUACCACCU
rnacentral:misc_RNA from 1 species